AACGCGAAGAACCUUACCAGCCCUUGACAUACCGAUCGCGGUUCGUGGAGACACUUACCUUCAGUUUGGCUGGAUCGGAUACAGGUGCUGCAUGGCUGUCGUCAGCUCGUGUCGUGAGAUGUUGGGUUAAGUCCCGCAACGAGCGCAACCCUCGCCCUUAGUUGCCAUCAUUUAGUUGGGCACUCUAGGGGGACUGCCGGUGAUAAGCCGGAGGAAGGUGGGGAUGACGCCAAGUCCUCAUGGCCCUUACGGGCUGGGCUACACACGUGCUACAAUGGUAGUGACAGAGGGCAGCGACCAUGUGAGUGGAAGCUAAUCUCCAAAAGCUAUCUCAGUUCGGAUUGUUCUCUGCAACUCGAGAGCAUGAAGUUGGAAUCGCUAGUAAUCGCAGAACAGCAUGCUGCGGUGAAUACGUUCCCGGGUCUUGUACACACCGA
rnacentral:rRNA from 1 species